rnacentral:misc_RNA from 1 species
UAUCAGGAUGGGGGGCAGAUGGUAGCGCGGGGGCGACGAGAACGAAGAGCGAGAGGGACGGGCGGAGAGAAGGGAAAGGAAGAGCGGCAGGGCGGGAAGGGAACGACCGGUGGGGUGGUGUGUGUGUAUGUGUGUGGAGGAUUGGCACGACUACGCAGUAGUCGCAUUAAAAGCGUUUUCUCUCUUCGUCAAAAAUGCAGGACCAUCUACAAGAAAGUGAAAUGGACGCCCUUCUGGACGCUGUUGGAAACGAACUUCGACGAACUACUGAUCGCUACAUCGAUGUACGUAUACUCGUCGAGCUACCUAACGUACAGCGUGCCGUUCACGACCGUCUGGUACGCUCUAUUCAUCCAGCCAGACGGCGCGAUCAUCACUACAUGGUGGUACAUCAACAUCUUCAGUGACGGUGCAUGGACAGUGUCCUUCGUCUUCGGCAUGUGUAUCGCGUGCAGUAUCAUAGGAGUGCAGCGCGUAAAGAAGCUUACAUGCAUUAAUAAAAAACAUUUCGAUGACGAGUUCUCUUCACCGUUCUUCAACAUCCUUUACGUCUUGGGCGGCAUGACUGGUCAAGGAUUGCAGAAAGUACCGAGGGAUUUGUCCAUGCGCAUAAUAGCACUGGCACUGUUGAUGAUGGGGAUGCUGCUGUCCUACGGAUUCAGCAGCACUCUCACUUCCUGCCUGACGAGCAAAGGAAACUCCGUCGCCAUUACCAACCUUGAAGAUGUAGAGACAAAGCGAUCGCAUUCGCUUUGCAUGAGGAACAAUAGCGGCGCGUAUGGCUACUUCACUGUGGUACGUAAAAAUAGGAACAAAGAAAAAAUGCAUAAAUAAAACGCACGUUCUUUUCGAUGCCAAGAACGUGUCCCGAAAUUAAGAUCAUGGAAGAUCACGUCUCAAAACAAAACGCGAUGUUUCGCAGAACGAAACAAAGGACAGCGAACUUAAAGAUAAGUGGAAAGAAUUGGUGAACAAGGAUUGUCCCGACAUGUCGAACAAAGAGGUCCUCAUUUCGCAAAUGUGUCGUCCGGGUUUCGUGUACCUGGAAGUACCAGGCGUAUUUCUGCCAACUUAUAAGUUGGUUGAGCAUACCUGCGAGCUCCUGCAGUUGCAAACCACGUACUGGAAGAGGAAAUUGUCGUUUGUGCACACAAAAACGGCGUCACACCGACAACUCAUCGACGCUUACUUAAUGCGUAUGCGGUCGGCUGGGAUACUGACAUACCUCGAGAAAAAGUGGAUCCUGGACGAAUUCAACACCCCAGCUAGGCAUGUUCAAUCGAACACUUUCCAAGCGGUGGAAUUCGUACACAUUCGUUUGACCAUCUGCGCACUUUUCAUAAUGAUGUUCGUCAGCUCGUUCAUCUGCAUCUUGGAGAACGUUUGGUACAAGCAGCAAGAGAAAUCGCAAAGGAAAAAUUCUACUUUGAUAUUACUGGGAGUGCGCGAUAGCAAGCCGAAUCUCACGAAAGCGUAUCAAGCGAGAUCACGGCUGAGAUGGCGCAGAAAAUUCAAUUCAAUAUUGUUACUCGAUACAAACAAUUCCGAAUUCUUUCAGAAUGUUACAGUACGAAUUAAUCGGUGGCAAAUGUCGCGCUCGCGAUUAUAAAUACAUCCAAGAAUUGUAUUUGCAACAUUAUCUGGAACGAACUGCGUUUUUGAUAAACGGCAUGAUCCGCAGGUCAAUGUGUCUCAUCUCUAGAGCUUAAAAAAAUCACAUCGAAACAUCCCGAAGAAUACUAUCUAGCACGUUAUUAUUUUAUUACAUAACUUCCUGCGCAUGGAAUGAAAUAUUCAUUAAGAGAUUUGAAUAAUAUUAAUGAUUGAAUAUUAAUGGCUGGAAACGGUUGAUAAACCGUUUUUUUGUAAACAUACGAUAUUUGGUUCGUAUAGGAGCGAACAAUGCAAAGAGCGCAAUUUUAGCAGCGAGCGUGAAGGGUUGCUUCGCCUCGUUUAAUCUUGAUAGCGUAGUACAUAGUAUACAAUACAGAAAAAUAAUCAUGGCGAACAUCGUCACUGUGACCGACACAUCUUCCGCGUUACGCCAAUCCGUACGCGGAUUCCUUCUAGAAUUGCAACGUGCAAUCCGAUGCAACGGAGCUCCCUCUUUCUCUCAUUCUCUCUCUCGUCGCUACAAUAUUAUGUUAUUCACAAUUAUUAUAAACAACGGACAUUUACAAAUGCGUUAUGCAUCGGCAUCAGAUAUUUUAAGGCCUAUACAGAUCUUACGUUACAGUUAGAGAAACUUUGGCUUCUUCUUACGCGGUGUCCCGCAACUUUGAUUUUUCAGAAGGAAUACGGAAGCGAGGAGAGAUAGUUUGGCUGGGACGAUUUUCAGCGAGGAGCGAAAUCCUAAUAGACGAAGUGUCUCGACAGAUAUCUUUUAAGUAAUUCCCCGCUUCCGCAUUAUCGAUCUCCACGACUGGUUUAAUUCUAUUAGGGAUCCUAAACUUAAUCCUAAGAUGUCCAACGUGGACCUCAGCGUUCCCUUAUCUUGCGAAAUAUAUCGUAUUCUCCUCGAGCAUAAAAAUGUAUUUAACUGUGUUUGAUUAUUUUCUGGCCUAAGAUAUUCCCCGGAGGGUUUUCCAACGAAACGAGUCUCGCCUAUCUCUCUACUCGAUAGAAAAAAGGAAAAGAAACGAAGAGAGACGCGUAGGUAUGAUUUCGAUGUGUACGAAGAUAGACUUUUAGGAUUACCACUAUGACGUUCCAAUGGGGGGGUUUCCUCAGCGUCUCGAUGGUGCAACCUGAGGAAGAACUCAUUCCGAUCGUUAUGGAUGAUCUUGUGUCUGCGGCCGCGCUCGUUACACGAAUGUCACGGUAAUUAUUGGAGCAUUGUACGUUAAAUUGAAAUAUUGUAUAAUAAAUUAAUUAAUAAAAAGUGCAUCAAUAAUAAGUGUCUCGCGUGGUGUACAAUGACGUUUCGCGCUUACCUAUAAUAUAUAUCCUGUUUCUUUUAUGGAAAAUUGUUGCACGGAGGAGUUUGGUCUCGGUGUUUUUCCGAUAUGUGUCAAAAAUGAGCGAGUUUUGAUUUGGCGUCUCUUUUAAGAAGUUUGUUUGAGCUGCAAUAUUGCUACGAUAAAGGGAAUGAAAUUCGUGACACAGAGAAAUACAUGUAAAAGGACAUGGCACGCUACAUGGAUUCACAGAUACAUCACACUUCAUUAAUGAGAUUUCGAAAUUCCUCUUCGACCUUCAGAUUCAUUUCUCAAUUUAUCUUUCUCAAGAAGCGAGCUAGAAGUUUUGUGCGCACUCAUGAAAAUAAUGAGCAAAUACAGGUAAGCUAAGAACACGGCAAACGAUCGGAACUUCAAAGAGUUAGUAAUUAACAAAGGUCCACGGCCCAUUCUGCUGUGAACACGUAAAUUUCUCAAUCGGAAAAUCACAUUAUCUACAUUUUCCGUUCAACUUUCAUCAAUAAAACGUCAUAAACUCUUAAUUCAUCAAUAAAACGUUUCGUAACUCUGAACUAAGAAAAAAAUAUACAUACGUGGGAAUAUAUUCCGACAAUUCUGCGUAAGCGUGAGAUCAAGUCAAACGACAUUUCGCAGAUACCCUUAUGCGAACAUUAUCUCUAAUAUCAUCUCUGAGAAUCAUCGAUCACUGCACAAUAAAAUACAAUAUUUAAUCUUCCCAAUCAGUAAUUGCACGUCGAGUUUACAGAAUAUCUCUUUCUAUGUUCAAAAUUCCGAAGAAAAUUCAACAAUUCGUGAGAGUGGCGUCUGAUUCACAAAAAUUUGACGUUUGCAACGUCGAAUUUUUUCCUCUUUCUUUUUUAAUUGCACUAUUUUUAAUAAAAAUGGUUUUCCAGUCAGACGGAAGAGCCAAAAGGUGUUUUACACGAAUAUGAAAUAUGCACUGUAUGACACAAAAUAUACAAUUAAGCACAUUUAAAAAAAUUUCCUCGACAUCAGCGAUACGGUGUGUCAGUGCAGCGUAUCGCGUUACCGCGGCUUCAACGUCCGGAUUCCGUCUAGCUAGUCGAAAAUAGUUCUUAUAGAACGAGCUUCUCAAGCAUAAAACACUAGUAGAUCCUGCCUGCGAAAGAACGGUAUCCCACUCGUGUUCAACCAUCGGCUUGCCGAGAUCGUCGAAAGCAAAGUAACGCUUGCGCUCCUAAA